GGGAGCGUAACUUAACUAGGGAGAGUAGCAGUCUUAUAAGCUGUGUACAGAAGUUCAAAUCUUCUCGCUCCUA
rnacentral:tRNA from 1 species